GGAUGAACGCUAGCGGCAGGCUUAACACAUGCAAGUCGAGGGGCAGCGAGGGUAGCAAUACCUGUCGGCGACCGGCGGAAGGGUGAGUAACGCGUGAGCAACAUACCCGUAUCAGUGGGAUAAUACAGGGAAACUUGUUCUAAUAUCGCAUAAUAUUAUUCAGAGGCAUCUUUGGAUAAUUAAAGUUACGGCGGAUACGGAAUGGCUCGCGUGACAUUAGCUAGAUGGUAGGGUAAUGGCCUACCAUGGCGAUGAUGUCUAGGGGUUCUGAGAGGGAGGUCCCCCACACUGGAACUGAGACACGGUCCAGACUCCUACGGGAGGCAGCAGUGAGGAAUAUUGGACAAUGGAUGGAAAUCUGAUCCAGCCAUGCCGCGUGCAGGAAGGCGGCCCUAUGGGUUGUAAACUGCUUUUGUACGGGAGCAAUAAGGUCUACGAGUAGAUUGAUGAGAGUACUGUACGAAUAAGCAUCGGCUAACUCCGUGCCAGCAGCCGCGGUAAUACGGAGGAUGCGAGCGUUAUCCGGAUUUAUUGGGUUUAAAGGGUGCGUAGGCUGUUAUGUAAGUCAGUGGUAAAAGGUACAGGCUUAACUUGUAUAUGCCAUUGAAACUGUAUAGCUAGGAUAUGGAUGAAGUGUGCGGAAUGUGUGGUGUAGCGGUGAAAUGCAUAGAUAUCACACAGAACACCGAUAGCGAAGGCAGCACACUAAGGCAAUAUUGACGCUGAGGCACGAAAGUGUGGGGAUCAAACAGGAUUAGAUACCCUGGUAGUCCACACUGUAAACGAUGAUAACUAGCUGUUGUCGAUAUAAUGACAGUAGCGAAGCGAAAGCGAUAAGUUAUCCACCUGGGGAGUACGGCCGCAAGGUUGAAACUCAAAGGAAUUGACGGGGGCCCGCACAAGCGGCGGAGCAUGUGGAUUAAUUCGAUGCAACGCGAAGAACCUUACCAAGGCUUGACAUACACCGGAAACAUUCAGAGAUGGGUGCCCCGUAAGGUCGGUGUACAGGUGGUGCAUGGUUGUCGUCAGCUCGUGUCGUGAGAUGUUGGGUUAAGUCCCGCAACGAGCGCAACCCUCGUUCCAUGUUGCCAGCAACACUUUUAGUGGUUGGGGACUCAUGGGAGACUGCCGGGGUCAACUCGGAGGAAGGUGGGGAUGACGUCAAAUCAUCAUGCCCCUUAUGUCUUGGGCUUCACACAUGCUACAAUGGCCGGUACAAAGGGCUGCGAUACCGCGAGGUGGAGCGAAUCCCAAAAAACCGGUCUCAGUUCGGAUUGGGGUCUGCAACUCGACCCCAUGAAGUCGGAGUCGCUAGUAAUCGCAGAUCAGCAACGCUGCGGUGAAUACGUUCCCGGGCCU
rnacentral:rRNA from 1 species